AAUUGAGGAAAUAAGAAAAAGAAGGGGAAGAAGCCAGAGUGCAGAGAGUAUAAAAGCUGGAAAAAAAUAGAUAAGCUUUUAUGUAGUGAGGAUCGAGGGGUAAAUUAGUAGAUGGAAUCAGGAGCUCAAUUAGCUAAUCUCUCGUACCUAGGUGUGUAUAAAUUACACUUUUAAUUUUACAUAUUUUACUUGAUUGAUUGUUAUGUGUUAAAUUGGAGUGAACAUUUGAAUUAUAUGAUGUGAGUCUGAAAUGGUUAUGUGUUAUUUGAUACUGAUGGUGUAAUAUAAUGUGGAUAUGUAAUUUGUGCAAUGGAUAUGUUUAUCUAUGGUAUUGGAGUUAUUGAUGGAAUAUAUGGAUAUGUAAUUGGUGCAAUGGAUAUGUUUGAUGUA